rnacentral:tRNA from 1 species
GCCAGCUGAGUACAUUACAAAGUACAUUGGAUUGUGGAAUCAAAGGAAGCCUGUAGGCUAGCUGGCG